ACCAACUACCAAAAUGAUAUACACCAUGUGUAUAUCUAGUCUCAGGAAACAAGCACAAUUGCAUUACUGUGUACAUAGGAAUUAUCUAGUCCUACUAGUUGUUCUCUAGUUAAAUGGACGACACAAGCCCAAAUCCGCACUCUGAAUGAUCCAUUUUAAUGUGUUGGUUUAUCAAGGUUGAACGGACGACACAAGCCAAAGUGCAGAAAUAAAUAGAAAACAAAUAAUAUGUCUGCAGAACAACCCAAAUGGCUACAGAUUCUAUUUGAUAUCCUCUAGUUAAGCUUAGUAUAGAGUUCUACUUGAUCUCUCCAAAUGCUAACAUUCGACAUAGAGCAAGGACAUGUGUUGCCUAGAAAAUGCCUGCUGCAGGCUUAUUUUCAUGGGAAUCACAGAUUUACAGAGAGAGAUGAAGUAGCUCACCUUCAGCUGCGAUGUGGAGAACCAAAAUUGGCAGCAGGCAGCUAGCCAACGAACAGUAUGGAAGAAAACGGGUGCUAGUGAUGAACUGCAGCUGUUGAACCGGUCGUUGAGAGGUGGAACAGUGGUGGCGAAUGGCGGCGUCACAGACAGCGGGGCGACUUACAGGAGGUUGGGGUUGGCGGCGCGGGGCGCGGGUCUUGAGGCCACCUCUCGGGGCGCCAAUCUUCAAUGGUC
rnacentral:lncRNA from 1 species